UGCUCGCGCGCCUCUGGCAGCAGGAGCCGCGAGGCCCCUCCUGCACGUGCGCGUGCGCCCUCGCUACAGCAGCUCGCCGGAGCGAGCACCGCCGCCGGCCGUCAGUUGCCGAUUCGUCGCAGCCGUAACACGGAUUGCAAAUCCAAGGCCACCACGUCGAUCACUGCGUCGAGCUGAAGCCGUUUCGCCGGCCCUCGUCGCCCCUCCAUCGCCGGACACCGCCGUCCGCCCGAGAGCCGCCGUCCGCGGAGCAGCACCUGCACUGGUUGCCGCCGGCCAAUUUCAGCAAAGCAAAGCGCCAGGAGUCUCCAGGAGGCUUGUCCGCCAUGGACGUUUGGUUCUCGAGCUUUUGCAAAAGCACCCUCAAGCAACUCGAUCCGACCCUGCCCUCUCAUCAAAUCAAAGAUCGUUGUUUGAAGCUUAAAGAAUCAAGAAGCUUGUAUGAGCAAGAGCAGAAGAGCCGUAAGAGUAGCUUUUUAUUGGAGAAAGGCAAGUGACCCUAACCAUCUUUCUAUCUAUGCUUAUUUACAAGAGUAUUAUGAUGAUUUAAUUGGAACAUGGAGAACCACCCAAGAAAACAGUA